rnacentral:rRNA from 1 species
UACAGAGGGUGCGAGCGUUGUUCGGAAUUACUGGGCGUAAAGCGAGUGUAGGCGGUCUGCUAAGUCGGGUGUGAAAGCCCUGGGCUCAACCCAGGAAGUGCACUCGAAACUGGCGGGCUAGAGUAUCGGAGAGGUUGGUGGAAUUCUCGGUGUAGAGGUGAAAUUCGUAGAUAUCGAGAGGAACACCGGUGGCGAAGGCGGCCAACUGGACGAAUACUGACGCUGAGACUCGAAAGCGUGGGGAUCAAACAGG